rfam:Trichobilharzia regenti genome assembly, scaffold: TRE_scaffold0000099
GUACUGCUGGAGAGUCCCAAACUAGGACGAAACAGCUGUCCAGUAC